GCAGUCGUGGCCGAGUGGUUAAGGCGAUGGACUCGAAAUCCAUUGGGGUUCCCCGCACAGGUUCGAAUCCUGUCGGCUGCG
rnacentral:tRNA from 1 species